rnacentral:lncRNA from 1 species
GACGAUGCCUCACUUUUGCUCGGCCUCGCCGUGCCACUCGUCGCACUCGUGCUGCUGUGAUCCUUGCCACUUCCGUCGCUGCUGCUGGUACGCUUCGUCCUCGUCCUGUUACUUUCUUUCUCUUUUCCCCUCUGAUUCCCAAACAGCCUGUUUGUGGUGUAGCUCAGGAUUCCAUGGCUGCUACUGGUGGAGUUCUUCAUUGUGACCAACUUUGCAGUGCGAGAAAACGACGCUCUCUGGGGUAAGUGGUCCUCUUCCCUUUCAUUGCUGCUCUUGAUGAUGAGCUGAUCGGACUCUCGUUGCUUUUGUUGCUUGUGCAGCCUCCGAAUUUCAGACCAUCCCAAUCCUCCACCACCUUCGUGCUGCUGCUGGAGUCCCAAGUCCGACUUACUCCGAACCAAGUUUCCACCAUCGCUGACCUUGUUCUUCGUCGACUUUGACACC